rnacentral:rRNA from 1 species
UACGAAGGGGGCUAGCGUUGUUCGGAAUCACUGGGCGUAAAGGGCGCGUAGGCGGCUUUAUAAGUCGGGGGUGAAAGCCUGUGGCUCAACCACAGAAUUGCCUUCGAUACUGUAGAGCUUGAGACCGGAAGAGGUAAGUGGAACUGCGAGUGUAGAGGUGAAAUUCGUAGAUAUUCGCAAGAACACCAGUGGCGAAGGCGGCUUACUGGUCCGGUUCUGACGCUGAGGCGGCGAAAGCGUGGGGAGCAAACAGG